UGGGGAAUCUUGGACAAUGGGCGAAAGCCUGACCCAGCAACGCCGCGUGAAGGAUGAAGUAUUUCGGUAUGUAAACUUCGUAAGAAUAGGAAGAAUAAAUGACGGUACUAUUUGUAAGGUCCGGCUAACUACGUGCCAGCAGCCGCGGUAAUACGUAGGGACCAAGCGUUGUUCGGAUUUACUGGGCGUAAAGGGCGCGUAGGCGGUGUGUCAAGUCAGUUGUGAAAUCUCCGAGCUUAACUCGGAACGGUCAACUGAUACUGUCACACUAGAGUACAGAAGGGGCAAUCGGAAUUCUUGGUGUAGCGGUGAAAUGCGUAGAUAUCAAGAGGAACACCUGAGGCGAAGGCGGGUUGCUGGGCUGAUACUGACGCUGAGGCGCGAAAGCUAGGGUAGCAAACGGGAUUAGAUACCCCCGUAGUCCCUGAGCGGGCUGGCAAGGCGCAU
rnacentral:rRNA from 1 species